GGAGGUGCGAGCGUUAAUCGGAAUUACUGGGCGUAAAGCGCGCGCAGGCGGCUGGGUCAGUCGGAUGUGAAAGCCCCGGGGCUUAACCUGGGAAUUGCAUUCGAUACUGCCCGGCUAGAGUAUGGGAGAGGGAAGUGGAAUUUCCGGUGUAGCGGUGAAAUGCGUAGAUAUCGGAAGGAACACCAGUGGCGAAGGCGGCUUCCUGGCCCAAUACUGACGCUCAGGUGCGAAAGCGUGGGGAGCGAACAGGAUUAGAUACCCUGGUAGUCCACGCUGUAAACGAUGAGAACUAGAUGUUGGGAGGGUUAGCCUCUCAGUGUCGCAGCUAACGCGUUAAGUUCUCCGCCUGGGGAGUACGACCGCAAGGUUG
rnacentral:rRNA from 1 species